AGCGGAGGAAAAGAAACCAACAGGGAUUGCCCCAGUAAUGGCGAAUGAAGCGGCAAGAGCCCAAAUUUGAAAUCAGGCCCUCGCGGCUUGAGUUGUAAUUUGGAGACGGGAUACUAGAGAGAGGGAGGGCGACUAAGUGCCUUGGAACAGGCUGCCGUAGAGGGUGAGAGCCCCGUGAGUCGCGUGAACUUGAUCAAUUAGUGCCCGCCGAAGAGUCGAGUUGUUUGGGAAUGCAGCUCUAAGUGGGUGGUAUAUUCCAUCUAAGGCUAAAUAUUAGCGAGAGACCGAUAGCAAACAAGUACAGUGAUGGAAAGAUGAAAAGAACUUUGGAAAGAGAGUGAAAUAGUACGUGAAAUUGUUGAAAGGGAAGGGUAUUUGAUCCGACAUGGUGUUUAGCAGCGGCCCGUUCCUCGUGGAUGGGUGCACCUGGUUUACACUGGGCCAGCAUCGGUUCUGGGAGCCAUAUACGGGGCCGGCGAAUGUGGCCCUUCGAUUCUGUCGGAGGGUGUUAUAGCGCCAGCCAGACGUGGCUAUCCGGGACCGGGGACUGCGGCGAUUCUAUCGCCAAGGAUGCUGGCAGAACGAGCAAAUACCGCCCGUCUUGAAA
rnacentral:rRNA from 1 species